AGUGAACGCUGGCGGUAGGCCUAACACAUGCAAGUCGAACGGCAGCACAGUAAGAGCUUGCUCUUACGGGUGGCGAGUGGCGGACGGGUGAGGAAUACAGCGGAAUCUACUUUUUCGUGGGGGAUAACGUAGGGAAACUUACGCUAAUACCGCAUACGACCUACGGGUGAAAGCAGGGGAUCUUCGGACCUUGCGCGAUUGAAUGAGCCGAUGUCGGAUUAGCUAGUUGGCGGGGUAAAGGCCCACCAAGGCGACGAUCCGUAGCUGGUCUGAGAGGAUGAUCCGCCAGACUGGAACUGAGACACGGUCCAGACUCUUACGGGAGGCAGCAGUGGGGAAUAUUGGACAAUGGGCGCAAGCCUGAUCCAGCCAUACCGCGUGGGUGAAGAAGGCCUUCGGGUUGUAAAGCCCUUUUGUUGGGAAAGAAAAGCAGCAGGUUAAUACCCCGCUGUUCUGACGGUACCCAAAGAAUAAGCACCGGCUAACUUCGUG
rnacentral:rRNA from 1 species